rnacentral:rRNA from 1 species
AUUGCCUCAGUAACGGCGAAGUGAAGCGGCAAGAGCUCAAAUUUGAAAUCUGGCCCCUCCGGGGUCCGAGUUGUAAUUUGUAGAGGAUGCUUCGGGUGCGGCCCCCGUCUAAGUGCCCUGGAACGGGCCAUCGGAGAGGGUGAGAAUCCCGUCUGGGACGGGGUGUCCGCGUCCAUGUGAAGCUCCUUCGACGAGUCGAGUUGUUUGGGAAUGCAGCUCUAAAUGGGUGGUAAAUUUCAUCUAAAGCUAAAUACUGGCCGGAGACCGAUAGCGCACAAGUAGAGUGAUCGAAAGAUGAAAAGCACUUUGAAAAGAGAGUUAAACAGCACGUGAAAUUGUUGAAAGGGAAGCGCUUGCGACCAGACUCGCUUCCGGGGUUCAGCCGGCUUUCGGGCCGGUGUACUUCCCCGGGGGCGGGCCAGCGUCGGUUUGGGCGGCCGGUCAAAGGCCCCUGGAAUGUAACGCCUCUCGGGGCGCCUUAUAGCCAGGGGUGUCAUGCGGCCAGCCUGGACCGAGGAACGCGCUUCGGCACGGACGCUGGCAUAAUGGUCGUAAACGACCCGUCUUGAAACACGGACCAAGGAGUCUAACAUCUACGCGAGUGUUCGGGUGUCAAACCCGUGCGCGCAGUGAAAGCGAACGGAGGUGGGAGCCCCCUCGCGGGGCGCACCAUCGACCGAUCCUGAUGUCUUCGGAUGGAUUUGAGUAAGAGCGUAGCUGUGGGGACCCGAAAGAUGGUGAACUAUGCCUGAAUAGGGCGAAGCCAGAGGAAACUCUGGUGGAGGCUCGCAGCGGUUCUGACGUGCAAAUCGAUCGUCAAAUUUGGGUAUAGGGGCGAAAGACUAAUCGAACCAUCU